ACUUGCCUAGUAAAAUAAAAAAGUUCUCAAAAGAGCCUUUGCUCUGCUGAGCAGUUUGUUUUCAGAAACUGCUCUCCUAUGGAGAGGCAUGCUGGUCUAUUUCGCCAAAUAUCUCACAUGUCAGACACCAUUUUAAUCAUGAUAAUCUCCUCUUUCUAAUGACAUAAGGUUGUGCAGUGUACUCUGCUGUCAUCGAUCACUAGACCAGAAAUAGUCAGAAGUUGCAGUUUUUGUCCUACUUCCUCAUUACGCAGACAUAAGCCCACUUGAGACCAUCGAGGUGCGGAUGUUUACUUUUUACAUGAGUUGUUAUUUUUCAUUUUCGUCCUAAGAACAAAUUGUAGUGAUAAAAUAAAAAGGAAGACAUUUUUUGGUGCCAUUUAGGGAAAAUGGAAUUCUAAGCUUCACUCAUGUCAGAAGAGGAUCAGCGAAGGAUUCUACAGACAAUCACGGAUUACAAAGGGGAAAUCAGCCACAUCUCGGACAUCAACGUCUUGCUCCCAGACAAGCUAAACACCUCCUUCGCCCACUUUGAUGAUGACACAGUGCACCCCAACUCAGCCUGCUCCUAAGGACUGUGGGCUCUCGUUCUCCGCAGCCGACAGACCUGCUGUCCCCACUUGCUUCAAGAUGUCCUCCA